rnacentral:rRNA from 1 species
UAAGACAGAGGUGCCAAGCGUUAGGCGGAAUCACUGGGCUUAAAGCGUGUGUAGGCGGAUUUCUAAGUACCUUGUGAAAUCCCACGGCUCAACCGUGGAACUGCUCGGUAUACUGGGAAUCUUGAGCCACUUAGGGGUCGUCGGAACAAGCGGUGGAGCGGUGAAAUGCGUAGAUAUCGCUUGGAACGCCAACGGUGAAAACAGACGACUGGGAGUGCGCUGACGCUGAGACACGAAAGCCAGGGGAGCGAACGGGAUUAGAUACCCCGGUAGUCCUGGCCCUAAACGAUGUCGACUAGGUCGUGGCGGCUCUGACGCCGUCGCGGCCGAAGCAAAAGUGCUAAGUCGACCGCCUGGGAAGUACGGUCGCAAGGCUA